AUUGAACGCUGGCGGCAGGCCUAACACAUGCAAGUCGAACGAGUGGCGGACGGGAGAGCAAUGUCUGGGAAACCGCCCGAUGGAGGGGGAUAACUACGGGAAACGGUAGCUAAUACCGCAUACCAUCGGAUGUGCCCAGAUUGGAUCAGCUAGUAGGUGGGGUAAAGGCUCACCUAGGCGACGAUCCCCAGCUGGUCUGAGAGGUUGACCAGCCACACUGGAACUGAGACACGGUCCAGACUCCUACGGGAGGCAGCAGUGGGGAAUAUUGCACAAUGGGCGCAAGCCUGAUGCAGCCAUGCCGCGUGUGUGAAGAAGGCCUUCGGGUUGUAAAGUACUUUCAGCGGGGAGGCGUUACCCGCAGAAGAAGCACCGGCUAACUCCGUGCCAGCAGCCGCGGUAAUUC
rnacentral:rRNA from 1 species